rnacentral:rRNA from 1 species
AUGUUACGGGAGGCAGCAGUGGGGGAUAUUGGACAAUGGGCGAAAGCCUGAUCCACCGACGCCGCGUGGAGGACGAAACCCUUCGGGGUGUAAACUCCUUUUGU